rnacentral:misc_RNA from 1 species
CUGAAUUGUCAAACGGGNUGUUGCUGNCCCUCAUAGGGGGCAUGUGCACGCUCUGUUUACACAUCCACUCACACCUGUGCACCCUCUGUAGUUCUAUGGUCUGGGGGACCCUGUCCUUCCUUCUGUGGUUCUACGUCUCUACACACACACUGUAAUAAAGUUUUAUGGAAUGUACAUCGCGUCUAACGCAAUACAAUAC